UACGUAGGGUGCGAGCGUUGUCCGGAAUUAUUGGGCGUAAAGAGCUUGUAGGCGGUUUGUCGCGUCUGCCGUGAAAAUUCGAGGCUCAACCUCGAACUUGCGGUGGGUACGGGCAGACUAGAGUGUGGUAGGGGGGACUGGAAUUCCUGGUGUAGCGGUGAAAUGCGCAGAUAUCAGGAGGAACACCGAUGGCGAAGGCAGGUCUCUGGGCCACUACUGACGCUGAGAAGCGAAAGCAUGGGGAGCGAACAGG
rnacentral:rRNA from 1 species